GCCUGGCUAGCUCAGUUGGUAGAGUUUGAGACUCUUAAACUCAAGGUCAGGGGUUUGAGACCCACAUUGGGUG